UCUUGUGCAUGCUAACCAUAUGUCUAUAAUAGGGAACCUUCAUAGUCUAGAGGCGUCCAACGCCUCGCUCUUAGCACAAGUCCAACAACUCCAUAUUUCCCAGAGUUCACACCACCAGAGUCGAAGCCAUCGUCCACGACAUCAGGACCAGACAAGAGAGGGUAGUGGAGGCAAUCACUGGCAUAUCAUCCAGGUUCUACCAUUCCUUUUUUUAACCUUUUUAUCGAAACAUUGGGGAUAAUGUUCAGUUUAAGUGUGGGAAAGGAACCUUACUUUUUUUAAUUAUUUAUUAUCAUUUUUUAGCUAGA
rnacentral:lncRNA from 1 species